CCCUGUCCCUGGCACGGCCGCCCCCUGCCCCGCCACCGGCCCCGGAGAUGCCGCGUCUUCCCCGGGCCCCGCUGCCGACCCCCGGGCUUGUCCGUUCUGUAGCUUUUCCUGGCUCCGGGAGCUGGGGAGCGCCAGGAGGGCUCCUGUCUGAGUGAAAGAAGAGUGAGAGCGUACCGCUUCCCUUGGAGCCGGUGACCUUCAGAAAUGAAUAAGUGCUUUUCCUUGGUUUCCUUUGGCUGUGUAGUUCGGCAUCGCCCUUUCAUGGGUCGGAGUUAACAGUGUAACAUCAGGCCAUCACCACUGGCAAGCGGGAGGAGAACCAGCAGGAAUGGGAUGCCAUGUUCUCUGCUCUCCAGAUCAGGUCUCUGUUCUGCUGGCAGGGUGGCCGUGCUCUGUACACUGAGCUGUGGAGAUGCUGCUGCAGUAAGACCUGUCUCUAGAUGGAGUUCUAGAGGAGCCUUCUCCAUUUUUACAAGAAUACUGACAGCAGCAUAGUGAUUUCAGUAUCUGGUUAAUCCUGUGUUUGCUGUGGAUUUCUAGAGGAGUGUCCCUUGCCUUCUUCUGCUGUGUGUUCAUCACCCCAGGGCGCACCGUCCUCUGAUGUCUUGUGGCUGAGUGGUUUCUGAAGGCACGUGCCAUGUGUGCCUUCACCGGGACCCUGCUCCCCCUGCUCCCUCACGAGCUCGGAGCCACCUUGGGCUGUCUCCUGGGUUUAAUAGAUGCCAGUCUGGCAGCACGUGGAGGUAAACAAGCCACGUUUGAAGAGGAAAGGCAUCUCUGAAGCCAGCUCUAUUGCCUGGCUCUCUGGCAAGUGCAGUAUUAGCUGAUGUGCCGUGUGUGUGUUAUAUUAGGAAGACUUUAAAUCAGGGAACAAUAAGUUAAGAAAUGCUACACAGGAAUGACAAAGAAAUGCGUUCACAGGAAACAUGAAUUCAGCUGGUUUUAAAUAUUUAUUGUUUCAUAUUAACUGUUGAUCGGAUCAACUCUGAAACUUUGCUUCUGGGAUGAAUUUUGGUUACAGUCAGUCACACUCUGUGUUGUACCUGCAGGAAAUACUACAACUAAAAAUA